CACACACACAUGCACACACACAUGGACGGGAACACACACACGCACACACACACCCACAUUUGCUUCCUGAGACUGACUUGGUUCACUUAAUCUGAAUCUCUCUGGUGACACCCUUUUCCUGCAAAUGACCUAGCUUCAUACUUCUUUAUGGCUUAGAAAAGUGGCCGCCUAUCUAGCGUUCCCUCUCCUCAUCAGUUCCUCUGUGGAUAGGGUGGGUCCAUAACUUAGCCACUGUUUCCAGAUGAGUCUUGCUGUGUAGCUUGGGUUGGCUUCCAAGUCACGCUCCUCCUGCCUCACCCUCCUGAGAUGACAGGUAUGCCCCACAUUUCAGGCCUGGCAGGAAAUGAACUUUAACGACCCAUUGAACAUAACAUACAAAGCGGGAAACCGAUCUGUAGAUUAUCAUGGAGCAAGUUUAUAUUCUCAUCUUGUGCCAAAUUUUCAAAGAUCGUCACACCAGGCACAUUCCAGCACUCUUGAGAGUUAAUGGCAGCCACUCUGACAUUGUGGUCAGUUCAAUGUCACUUACUGUCCCGUAGAGGUGUAAAGAAAACCUUUUCCCCGUGUGUGUGUGUGUGUGUGUGUGUGUGUGUGUGUGUGUGUGUAUAAGGUUGGACUCACGUAGCCCAGCCAGACCUUGAACACAGCAAGCAGCCUAGGCUGACUUUGAACUCUCUAUUCUCCUGCCUUGGCCUCCUGCGAGCUGGGUUUACAGGUGUGUAUUACCUCUCCUAGACUAUUGAAGUGGUUUUGUUUGUUUGUUUUUGAGACAGGGUAGCCCUGGCUAGGGCUGAAUUCCUCCUGAUCCUUCUGUUUCAGCCUCCUGAAAGCUGGGACUAUAGGUCUGAGAUACACCACACCUGGUUAUAUAAGAUUUUUUGGAGGCUUCUGGAUUCAGGACUUUGAGGGAAUGUACGACCUGGAACUUAACAUGGGGAACCUGGCCCAGGAGACUCCCUUGUUCUUGUUGGCCAGUUCUUCAUCACCUGUUUCUUGCCCAGCGGAGAAAACCAGCUGUGGUCCUGUGUGACUUCUCCGUGCAGAUAUAACUCUGUGGAGAUCUAAAAUACGUUUUGUGUCCUCCAGGGCUCCUGGAAGUUCUUUCAAAGAGCAGGAUGUCUUUCCUACGACUGGACAGAGCUGAACCAGUUCAGGCAGUAGUGGGACCUGCCAGGAUCCCUCACCUUUGUCCUGAAGGCCAUGGAGAUACAUACCUUUGUCUAUCCUUGGCCCUGGAGAAGUUUCUUAAUGGGCCAAGGACAGAUGUUCUGAGAUAUCCAACCCCAGGCUGAGAAAAUGACAGAUCUGCUUAGUUCUGGAUCCUACAGAUGCACAGAGGUUAAGGGUAAGGGACUGUGGAGACAGAAGACAGACUCACCAGGAGUAUAGGAGGGUCAUGGACUCCACACUUCUGGGAAGUACUGGCAUGAGAAGAGAAGGGGCGGGAUACACAGACACCUCCUCUUACCCUACUGACUCUGGGCCCGCCAGGUCUGCCAGCAGUGAUCUGUAUUCUCAAAGGGGCCUGGUCCUGACAUGCUCCCUUUGAAGGACUUCUAUCCACCUUUAAAAAAUCUAAAUUUGAGAGCAUUUUCUUGGUGCUUCCUGGUUCCGUUGGAGACAGACCUUUGUGGGUCAGAAGAGGCCAGAGGACCCUAUGCUGUUUGGGCUCCAAGAGCCUGGCUUUGUUUGCUAAACACUAGCAAGAUUAGGCAACUUUACAAACAGAACCAAGGUCCUGGCCAGCUGCCCAGGGUGGUUACAGUCCUGGGCACAGAGGCAGGACAAGCACACGUGGACACCCUCAGGGACAGCAGGCAGGCAGGAGAGGUUGGCAGGAGGCCUCCAUGGUCACCUUUGCCUGGCUGUCCAGAUGCUCUUAAAUAAGCAUUAUUGGGUACAAAUUUUCGGCAAUUUACUUCAGAAGAUAGCAUCCAUUCUGGCCAUAAAUGCUGAGGCUGUAGGAGAAAGAAGGCGUCUGAUUCCAACAAGGAUCCAUGCGUUGCCUGGCGGACAUCUAGGUUUCCUACCUAUGGCGGGAGGAGCAGUAAUGAGCAGAGAUGAGCAACUCUCUCCCUAGGAAGACUGAAGUCUUUUGGAUACACGCCCCAGAGUAUCACGGCUGGGUCAUAUGGAAGUUCUAUUCUUAGCUUUUUGACAAGCCUGCAGGCUAGUUUCCAGAGUGGUUGUACCAGCCUUGUUGUCAUUUGUUUUCUGGAUGAUAGGCAUCCUGACUGGGGUGAGAUGGAAUCUCAAAGUGGUUUUAAUUAGAUUUCCCUGAUGACCAAUGACGUUAAACACCUUUUAAAAUGAUGUUUAACCACCUA